AUUAUUAUUAUUAUUAUUAUUAUUAUUAUUAUUCCCGGAAUGAGAAGAACCAAAGAUCAAAGCAUGAGGGUCGAGGCGGCAAAUUUGGGAGUGCUUUUGGUGAAGCGAGGAAGA